GUAAACAGCUAAUGUUCACACCCAUCUUGAAAUAUGCUUUUUUUUUGUGUGUGUGGUGGUUGUAGCAGGAAAGGUCGUUAAACAAAAAUGAACCAUUUUCCUCUUUUUUUAAAGAAAUACAAACACCGGUGAUACCUACGUUACAUGUAAUCCGAAGGUGGGAGAUCUAUAGUAUGUUUAACACGAAACCAAUGCUCUGCACACGUGGGCUUUCGGUUAAUUCGGACAAAGGUGAAGUAACCGACGCACCCGAAAGGUAAAGGUAACGGUCCCUUUAAGAGAUAACAGGAAAAAGAGAGCUAAUCAUAAAAAGGCACAACGGUCUGAGGAUAUAAUUCAAGUCUCUUGUUGUUUCCUCCCUCCCCACAAAUGCAGUUGUACUGAAUGAAACUCGCCAUCACAGUCUCCGGACAGGCUGAGGCUCCAGUUCGAUUAACUGAAAUCCACGAACGUUAACAGUGGCAACGAGAGCAAAAUUACAGAUAUCAAUCAACAAGAAGGGUCUUGGGCUCAAGGGAGAAAAAGCCACAAGUAAAGAGAGAGGUUUGGAAAAGCUGUUGGAAAACACGGAUUUUUUAAGAGAAACAGCGAAUAAUUGAAAUGUCACCGUACUGUCUGUUAUUAUAAAUAUUGUACAUUUAUUGCACCUAUGAUAGAAAAGUGAUAGAAAAGUGUUGGAAGCGGAUGCAUUAUGAACGUCUCCAUUUCCUUCACUUCUCCGGGUAUAAUAUCAUCAUAACACUACAAUACAUUACA